rnacentral:rRNA from 1 species
GAUGAACGCUGGCGGCGUGCCUAAUACAUGCAAGUCGAACGCAUUGUGGUUGAAAUGAUAUGAAGAACUUGUUCAGAUUUGAUUUUCAACAUUGCAAUGAGUGGCGAACGGGUGAGUAACACGUGGGAAACCUACCUCUUAGCAGGGGAUAACAUUUGGAAACAAAUGCUAAUACCGUAUAAUAAUUAAAACCGCAUGGUUUUAGUUUAAAAGAUGGUCUUGCUAUCACUAAGAGAUGGUCCCGCGGUGUAUUAGUUAGUUGGUGAGGUAAUGGCUCACCAAGACAUGAUACAUAGCCGAGUUGAGAGACUGACCGGCCACAAUGGGACUGAGACACGGCCCAUACUCCUACGGGAGCAGCAGUAGGGAAUCUUCCACAAUGGACGAAAGUACUGAUGGAGCAACGCCGCGUGUGUGAUGAAGGGUUUCGG